rnacentral:rRNA from 1 species
UACGGAGGGGGCUAGCGUUGUUCGGAAUUACUGGGCGUAAAGCGCGCGUAGGCGGACCUGCAAGUCGGGGGUGAAAGCCCGAGGCUCAACCUCGGAACUGCCUUCGAUACUGCGGGUCUCGAGUCCGGGAGAGGUGAGUGGAAUUCCUAGUGUAGAGGUGAAAUUCGUAGAUAUUAGGAAGAACACCAGUGGCGAAGGCGGCUCACUGGCCCGGUACUGACGCUGAGGCGACGAAAGGCGUGGGGAGCAAACAGG